CCUACGGGUGGCUGCAGUGAGGAAUAUUGGUCAAUGGCCGGAAGGCUGAACCAGCCAAGCCGCGUGAAGGACGAAGGUGCCAAGCAUUGUAAACUUCUUUUGUCAAGGGACAAAAUCAGGCUCGUGAGCCUGACCGAGGGUACUUGAAGAAAAAGCAUCGGCUAACUCCGUGCCAGCAGCCGCGGUAAUACGGAGGAUGGGAGCGUUAUCCGGAUUUACGGGGUUUAAUGGGAGCGUAGACGGUUAAUCAAGUCCAAAGUGAAAACCCAGGGCUUAACCUUGGGACUGCCUUUGAAACUGGGUAGCUAGAGUGCAGGAGAGGUGAGCGGAAUUCCUAGUGUAGCGGUGAAAUGCGUAGAUAUUAGGAGGAACACCAGUGGCGAAGGCGGCUUACUGGACUGUAACUGACGUUGAGGCACGAAAGCGUGGGGAGCAAACAGGAUUAGAUACCCUGGUAGUC
rnacentral:rRNA from 1 species